UUUACACAAACACUUUCAACGACACGGGGAGCCAACAGACCAUUCCGCACGUCUGAUGAGAGGAGGGCAAAUACUGAUGCUCCGCUGGAACACCUGGGUGUAUAAACGAGUGAUUCUGAGAAGAAUUCACACGCCUUUCCACGUCCCCUGGGAAGAAAAGCAUCAAAUGAAUAAAACACACACGGUCUGUGAACUUCAAGUGUCGUCCCCUCAGUGUUCUUCGUAUACCUUAAGGUGAGCUGGCUGAGGGACCCAGAGGCUGUCUUUAUUCCGGAUAGCUUGUGUAUCCUGGUUCUCGGCCUCAAAGUUCUGGCUUGGACCAUCUUGUGACCUCAUGGACUGUGUGGAAUUGAAAGCAUGAUGGUUUCCCCAAGUGGUCCCCCACACCUACCACGGCCUUUCAAAGGUACAUAGCCUUGGUCUUCCCCUCGGGGGUCCCACUGCAGUUAUGAGAGUGAGAAUAUAUACAGGAUGUCAUAAGGGUCAGGCUACCCGGCAGCAAUGACACUGCUCUCUGGUGCUGGUUCUGGAAACAGGGCCGUCCCACUACAUCACACUGGGAAGAUCCGGACCAGGGAUCGGAAGGUCAGCAUCACAGCUCUGCGACGACCGUGUCCCUGGGUGGUCUUUUGAAACGU
rnacentral:lncRNA from 1 species